GUCGGGAUGUAAACAGUGUAACACUAAUGUGAACAUGGCUUCAGUAAAAUGCUGUUGAUGACAGAGGACUUCAGACCAACGAUUUACAUAUACACAUGAUUGCUUCAGACACGUGAAAGAAACUAAUAUUUCGGUUUUUUAAAACAACAAAUAUGAGGCUUCAUCAGAUACUCCGCAAUGCAGCAAACUUCAGGACGGUCUUUGACUUCGGCGACAGAGAGGUUGCCCACUGGUUCCCCAGACAUAUGGCAAAAGGUCUGAAACAGAUGAAGGCCAGUGUGAAGAAUGUUGACUGCAUCCUAGAAAUCCACGAUGCCAGAAUCCCGUUCUCGGGUAGAAACCCUCUUUUCCAGGAUAGUCUGGACGUCAGACCUCAUUUCCUGGUGCUGAACAAGAUGGACCUGGCUGACCUGUCUGCCAAGCAUAUGAUUUUGAAACAGCUUGAAAGACAUGGAGUGAAGAAGGUCCUGUUCACAGACUGCCUCAGACAGAGAGAUGACAACGUCAAAAAGCUGGUUCCCAUGGUCACAGAAUUAAUCGAGAGCCAGCCACGCUUCCACCGAGAGGAGAACACCAACUUCUGUCUGAUGGUGAUUGGGGUGCCCAACGUUGGAAAGUCAUCACUCAUCAAUGCUCUGAGGAGAACCAACCUCAAGAAAGGUCGGGGGUCAAAAGUAGGAGGGGAACCAGGCAUUACCAAAGCAGUGUUGACUAGAAUACAGGUGUGUGAGAGACCCAUCAUCCAUCUUCUAGAUACUCCUGGUGUCCUUCCUCCGAAGAUACAGAGUCUGGAGACAGGCAUGAAGCUAGCCCUAUGUGGAACCAUCCUGGACCAUCUAGUAGGAGAAGACAUCAUGGCAGACUACCUACUGUUCUCUCUCAAUAGACUGGAGAAGUACAGUUACGUGGAGAGGUAUGAUCUCAGUGAGCCUAGUGAUGACAUCCAGCAGGUGUUGAAACGUAUCGCUGUCAAACUGGGAAAGACUCAACGGGUUAAAGCCAUCACUGGAGUGGGUAACAUCACCCUCACAGUGCCUAACUACACAGCAGCAGCCUAUGAUUUCAUCAGAGCGUUCAGGAAGGGAGAGCUGGGACGGGUCAUGCUGGACUGACCACUACCACACCACAGACUGACUACAACACAGACUGAUCACUCUCUCAGCAGAGACCUUGUAGGAAACUCAAGAGUGCAGGUAUCCUCUCUACAGUAGACUGGUUCAUCAUCUCUGCUCUCCAGUCUCACCCAACACAGAGCAGCUGAUCAGCCGGUGGUUCCUGAUCCCCUAGCUGAUGCUGUCCCCAACGACACCCCUCCACGCCCCCUGGACAUCAACGGGAGUCCGGCCUAUGCCAUCAAAUCCCGACUGGACUACUGACGUCGUGGGGGUCGGCUCCAGUACCUGGUGGACUGGGAGGUGUAUUGCCCAGAGGAGCGGUGUUGGGUUCCGGUGGAGGACAUUCUGGAUCCCAACAUCAUCCGUGAUUUCCACCUUCACAGCCUGGACCGGCCCGCUCCUCGUCCUCGGGUCUUCCGUCUGGUUGGCGUCGUCCUGCGGCUGGAGCCGCGCAUCAGAGGGGCAGUACUGUCAUGUCUACUCCCGCUCCUCCCCUCCGGCAUUCGAUGUCGCCGGUAUACUAACCACCGGUCCUAGGAUCCAUCAUUACGCAAACCUGCACAUCAUCAUGAGGCACACCUGGACUCCAUUACCUCCCCUAUAUCUGGUACUCCCUUAGGUUCCUUCCCCAGUCAGUAUUUAUCCUGUGUUUAUGCAUAGACCCUACUGUUAUGUUGUCUCAUUCCAUGUUUGUUUUAUUAAACGUUUCACCUGCACCUGC